rnacentral:piRNA from 1 species
UUCUUGAACCGUCUUCUAGGGGUGUC